GGCCAGUUAGCUCAGUCAGUUGAGCGUGGCACUAACAACGUCAAGGUUGCGGGUUCGAUUCCCGUUCGGUCCC
rfam:Apaloderma vittatum contig8067, whole genome shotgun sequence.